GAUGAACGCUGGCGGCGUGCCUAACACAUGCAAGUCGAACGAAGCACCUUGAAGUUUUCGGACAGAGAGGUGACUGAGUGGCGGACGGGUGAGUAACGCGUGGGUAACCUGCCUCAUACAGGGGGAUAACAGUUAGAAAUGACUGCUAAUACCGCAUAAGCGCACGAUGUCGCAUGACAUAGUGUGAAAAACUCCGGUGGUAUGAGAUGGACCCGCGUCUGAUUAGCUAGUUGGUGAGGUAACGGCCCACCAAGGCGACGAUCAGUAGCCGACCUGAGAGGGUGACCGGCCACAUUGGGACUGAGACACGGCCCAA
rnacentral:rRNA from 1 species